CCUACGGGAGGCAGCAGUGAGGAAUAUUGGUCAAUGGUCGGGAGCCUGAACCAGCCAAGCCGCGUGAGGGAUGAAGGUCCAGAGGAUCGUAAACCUCUUUUGUCAGGGAACAAAGGCGGGGACGUGUCCCCUGAUGAGUGUACCUGAAGAACAAGCAUCGGAUAACCCCGUACCAGCAGCCGCGGCAACACGGGGUAUGCGAGCGUUAUCCGGAUUUGUUGGGUUUAAAGGGUGCGCGGGGGGGCGGUUGAGUCAGUGGUCAAGCCCCGGGGCUAAACCCGGGCUCGCCGUUGAUACUGGUAGGCUCGAGUUGGAGAGAGGUAUGCGGAAUGCGCGGUGUAGCGGUGAAAUGCAUAGAGAUCGCGCAGAACUCCGAUUGCGAAGGCAGCAUGCCGGGUCCACACUGACGCUGAGGUACGAAAGCGUGGGUAGCGAACAGGAUUAGAUACCCCAGUAGUC
rnacentral:rRNA from 1 species